UACGUAGGGUGCAAGCGUUGUCCGGAAUUAUUGGGCGUAAAGAGCUCGUAGGCGGUUUGUCGCGUCUGCUGUGAAAACUCGGGGCUUAACCCCGGGCCUGCAGUGGGUACGGGCAGACUAGAGUGCGGUAGGGGAGACUGGAAUUCCUGGUGUAGCGGUGAAAUGCGCAGAUAUCAGGAGGAACACCGGUGGCGAAGGCGGGUCUCUGGGCCAUAACUGACGCUGAGAAGCGAAAGCAUGGGGAGCGAACAGG
rnacentral:rRNA from 1 species